UACGAAGGGGGCUAGCGUUGUUCGGAAUCACUGGGCGUAAAGCGCACGUAGGCGGAUUGUUAAGUCGGGGGUGAAAUCCUGAGGCUCAACCUCAGAACUGCCUUCGAUACUGGCAAUCUCGAGUCCGGAAGAGGUUGGUGGAACAGCUAGUGUAGAGGUGAAAUUCGUAGAUAUCAGGUGGAACACCAGUGGCGAAGGCGGCUUCCUGGACGGUAACUGACGCUGAGGAGCGAAAGUGUGGGGAGCGAACAGG
rnacentral:rRNA from 1 species